rnacentral:rRNA from 1 species
GAUGAACGCUAGCGGCAGGCUUAAUACAUGCAAGUCGAGGGGUAGCAAGAUUGUAGCAAUACAAUUGUUGACGACCGGCAAACGGGUGCGGAACACGUACACAACCUUCCUACAAGUGGGGAAUAGCCCAGAGAAAUCUGGAUUAAUACCCCGUAACAUAGCGAUGUGGCAUCACAUUGCUAUUAUAGCUUCGGCGCUUGUUGAUGGGUGUGCGGCUGAUUAGUUAGUUGGCGGGGUAACGGCCCAACAAGUCUACGAUCAGUAGCUGAUGUGAGAGCAUGAUCAGCCACACGGGCACUGAGACACGGGCCCGACUCCUACGGGAGGCAGCAGUAGGGGAUAUUGGACAAUGGGCGAAAGCCUGAUCCAGCCAUGCCGCGUGUGUGAAGAAGGUCUUCGGAUUGUAAAGCACUUUAAGUUGGGAGGAAGGGCAGUAAGUUAAUACCUUGCUGUUUUGACGUUACCGACAGAAUAAGCACCGGCUAACUCUGUGCCAGCCGCCGCGGUAAAAC